rnacentral:rRNA from 1 species
CCUACGGGGGGCAGCAGUAGGGAAUCUUCCGCAAUGGGCGAAAGCCUGACGGAGCAACGCCGCGUGAGUGAAGAAGGAUUUCGGUUCGUAAAGCUCUGUUGUUAGGGAAGAAUGGAUAUGUAGUAACUAUACAUAUAAGAGACGGUACCUAACCAGAAAGCCACGGCUAACUACGUGCCAGCAGCCGCGGUAAUACGUAGGUGGCAAGCGUUGUCCGGAAUUAUUGGGCGUAAAGCGCGCGCAGGUGGUUUAAUAAGUCUGAUGUGAAAGCCCACGGCUCAACCGUGGAGGGUCAUUGGAAACUGUUAAACUUGAGUGCAGGAGAGAAAAGUGGAAUUCCUAGUGUAGCGGUGAAAUGCGUAGAGAUUAGGAGGAACACCAGUGGCGAAGGCGGCUUUUUGGCCUGUAACUGACACUGAGGCGCGAAAGCGUGGGGAGCAAACAGGAUUAGAUACCCGAGUAGUC